rnacentral:misc_RNA from 1 species
AAUAUCCACAAUUUUUAUCGUUACACAUUACGCUUCAAUACUUGAGAAAAGAAUAAACAUUUUAUCUGGAAUUGACUCGACGAGGAUACGCGCGUGUAAACAUUAUUCUUUAUUCAUCUCGAUAUAAACAUUGUUUGGUAUUCGAAAAACACGCGUACCGCGAGGCAGUGGGAAAAAAACACGGAGAGGCUCAACGCGAUUCCCCGAAUUGGCGGACGUGGGGUGGGAGGGAGAAGGGGAAACACGAGCGCGCGACGUCACGCGAGUGAAAACAACGUAGUUGAGUUUCGAGCGUUAUAUCGAGCGCGUGAAAUAUCGGGCGAUCGUUGAUUUCGUGGGAAGGUCAAGUCCCUCGCGAAUAAUAAGGUCGAUAUUCACUCGCCGGGGCGUGAGUCGCAGUUACCUCUGUCAAACCUUGGUACGUCGAUUCCUCGCACGUCCAUCCAUCUGUCAAUCGUUAAACAUCUGACAGUCGUUACACGAUAUUACGCGAAUAUCGCGAAUGAGAAUCACUGGCGGCUCUAUUUACGUUAGUCGUCGAAUAUGUGAACGAUAAUGCGCGAAUUUUGGAAACGCUGAGAAGAAAUGUCAAGCGAAAACGUGUACAACACAUCGCGAAUGCAAGUGAAUACAUAAUGUGAGUGGAAUAUAAUGACUGUAAAAUACAAGAAUAAAUCCGCCUAUAAUGGAUCGACUGGUCGUCGGGAGUGCCGAAUAAAUGUAUCGGGCGAUUAUUGUGGUUGUGCGAGUGCCGCGAAUAUAAUCGACGUUCGAUCGAAAUUAUGUUAGUAAAAUGAGUCGCGCGAAAAUAUGUGAUUUAUUUCGGAGUAAAUAAAUAUAUACGCAGAUCGCGAAAAAGUAUCGUGGCGUCGUCGAAUUUUAAGUAUCGUGAUAACGUGAGUGAUAGUGAUAACGUGAGUGAUAGUGAUUGAUACUCAUUGACUGUCAACAACUUUAGUUGCUUGUGUGAUGGAUUGAUCAUCGAAGCUUCGAGACAGGAAUGCAUCAGAUGAUGAGAAGAAAACAGAGAGACAGCAGGUACGAAAAUGGACGCCGAGGCAGCAUUGUUGGAAAAUUCGCCGACUUUGUCGACGAUCUCGUCGGAUUCCACGGACGCGACGUAUUCCGGACCCGGCUCGCCCUAUUCCCCGGAAUCACCGAUCAUUGUCACGUCCUCCUAUAAAAAAAAGCGUGACGAUGAAGUCACACCUAGACCAACGCCCAGACAUCUAUCCAGGAAGCCAAGCUUCCGGAUACGACCGCCCUACCUCAUGAUCUGCAUCAGUAUCAUCGAGAUAACCGUCCACUGCCUGGGAGACGAGGCGACGUUACGGAGAUGGCUGGUCUACGAUCCCCGUCAGAGGGUGCAGGGUUGGAGGUUCGCCUCCUACAUGCUACUGCACUCGAACGCACUUCACCUCGCACUCAACGUGGUCAUUCAGCUGGUCUUGGCCACUCCACUCGAGGUGGAACAAGGACGAAUAGGGGUAGCGACAAUCUAUUUGGGCGGUGGAGUUUGCGGCGCCCUGGGAGCGUCGCUUCUGCAACCCAGUCUUUACUUGGUCGGCGCUUCGGCAGGCGUUUAUGCACUGCUCACGAGUCAUCUUGCUCAUCUUUACCUGUGCCACGGCGAACUACGCUACGCGGGUUGGCGUCUCGGCGCCGUAUUGUUGUUGGCCGGCGCGGAUGUCGCGUCGCUGCCCAUCCCGGCGUUGCUCGGAUGCGGCCGGGUCGGCUGGGCGGCACACGUCGCGGGCGCGCUGGCGGGUCCACUUUUGGGUCUGGCCGUGUUCCCGAACCAGAGCAAGAAGGACGCCCGUGGGCGCAGAUUCGUGCGAUACGUGCGGCUGCUGUCGGCCGUGAGCGUGAUGCUGCUGAUCGUCGGCGCCGUCCUCGGCAACGUCUACCUAAUCGCCCUGCCGCAGCUCAGGAAGCCGUCCUGACAGAGGAUCGAGAUGCUCGUCAAGCUCUGCAGACGGUCCUUCCUGAUCGUCAAGAUCCGGGAGGCCGCCGAGAGUGUAUUCGAGUAGAGGAUCUUAAGGACCGGGAAAAAGAACGGAUAACGUGGGAACGAACUGAACGUCGAUCUGCCAGAUACUAUGGAGGUAAACGUCGCAACUUUUUUACGGACAGGUAAAACGUUUCAAACUGCCGAUUGUAACUUUUCGAUAGGAUCGAAUUGUAUAUGAUUAAUACUUAGCGAUACGAUAUGUAAUAAUUUCUCGUUAUGUCAAUCUCGCUAUUAUUGGCGACAAAAAAAAGAGACUAUGAAAGUGUGGCAUGCGUGUAUAAUAAAAAUAAGAGUAAUUAUAUAACACACAAUUUAAGAUGGCUGAAACGAUGCGUAUGGACGGUGGCAGGUGAGUUUGCCCUGCGAUGGGGACGAAUUAAAUUUUAUUAAUAGAAAGUGGAGAGCGAAUUUAUUUAAAUAAAAAUAGAGAAAUACAGGAUAUUGUUAUGGCUCGCGUGAGAAUAAGAAUCACGAUUCCGAGUAUAUUAAUGCUAGUACAUCGCUAACAAUGUUGGGAGAACAAGAUGGAAUACCUUCAUCCUUUCUAUUAUUCGUAUUAACGAUUUAGCGUGUAUGAGAUAUGUAAGAAGGUGUAUAAAAAAAAUAAAGCGAUCACACAAUAUAUUAUUAACGUAAACGUGUUAUGAUAUAACGAAGAUUUUAAUAAUGGCAAGAUAAAUGUAUCGAUCGUUAAUAAAGCAAAGUUUAACAACAUG